AUCCUCAAGUAUCCGGUGGAACGUACGGCGGAGGAGGGGGAAUCCCAAGUAUUCCAGGAAGCACAACAUUAAAUGGAACACCUGGUGGUAAAAUAGAAGGGCAACAAAAACCAAUUGCAAGAGGCGAUAUACCGGGAACAGUGGUUUACCCGAACGGUCAAGACGGUGGACAAGUACAAGCUGGUACACCAGGUAGCAGUUUACCUACAACUACAGUGCCAGGUGGGACAUAUGUUUAUCCCGGCGGGGUGACUGGUACUUACCCAGGCACUGGGCAAUAUCCAGGAGGAUUGGUUCCAACAGGUACUACUACCAUAGGUAUU